rnacentral:rRNA from 1 species
GUAGGGAAUAUUGGACAAUGGGCGCAAGCCUGAUCCAGCAAUGCCGCGUGGGUGAAGAAGGUCUUCGGAUCGUAAAGCCCUUUCGACAGGGACGAUGAUGACGGUACCUGUAGAAGAAGCCCCGGCUAACUUCGUGCCAGCAGCCGCGGUAAUACGAAGGGGGCUAGCGUUACUCGGAAUUACUGGGCGUAAAGGGCGCGUAGGCGGCUCUGUUAGUCAGGCGUGAAAUUCCUGGGCUUAACCUGGGGACUGCGCUUGAUACUGCAGGGCUUGAGGCCGAGAGAGGGUGGUGGAAUUCCCAGUGUAGAGGUGAAAUUCGUAGAUAUUGGGAAGAACACCGGUGGCGAAGGCGACCACCUGGCUCGGUUCUGACGCUGAGGCGCGACAGCGUGGGGAGCAAACAGGAUUAGAUACCCCAGUAGUCC